UCCAUCAACAGCCAACCCAGAUGGGUCUACACUCUCUUGCUGGUUGUUAAAGGCAUGCUAAUCUUGGUGCAGAAUGGACUGUGUUGAUACACGAAGAAAAGAAAUCAUAUUCCCCAACCACAGUUAGCUACUCUACUUAUCUAGGUUCCCUUGGCUGCAAAUAAGGAAGAGCCUACUGCACAUCUAGUGAAAUAUCCAUGAUUAUGAUAUAUUAUUCAUGGGCAAAUUUAUAUCUAACAAAGGAUGCUAAAACAAAAAAUGUCAGUCCCAGUAAGGUAUUUAUUCCAUAAGCUUGAACAAGGUUGCAUAACUGAGGAAACACCAGGAAAGUACAAGGAGUCUGUUACAUAUGUCUCCUGAUAAACGCUACCAAAUAACUUCCCACCAAAAGUAUUCAGAGACCCUGGAAGAUCCAUCUCUAAGUAGAUUUUGAAAGCUGCAUGUAAGAAACUUGAAUCAAUGCCAUGGCCAGAACAAACGGGUAAGUAAAAGCUCCAAACCAUAACAGAACCAUAGCCACCAAAUUUCUCAUCAAAUAUCAAUAGCUAAGCCUCCAGGAAAAAGCCGAGAAAAAGGUUGUUGUUAUGUUCCAGAAAACACAUGAAUUGUGACGAGCAUCAAAUAUCAUCAUCUUACCCAUUACCCAAUCUCAUUGAGGUACAAGUGCAUGUCUUUCAGCCGCUCAUGUUGUAGUAAGUAUAAAAAUGAUUUCCUUUAUAUAUAUAUAUAUAUGAUUAUGGCUUCACCUGUGAUGUUCCCUAAUUUCAAGAACUUAAAUUAAGAAUCGUAUGAUUCUAUUUAAGCUUUAGGAACUGAAGCAAUUUUCACAUGGCAGGAAAUAAACCAGUUAGAUGGAUAAGCUCCGUACUAGCAAAAAUCUAGGUGGUUUAUUGAGGAAAUAGAAAUCACAAAGAUAAUUUGUAUUACCAAGAAAGGCACCUGUUUCAAAGUAACCUAAUAGGGGAGUUCGACGGUACUAAAUUGCUAGUUAUAAUGUUCUUGUACUAAAAUAACACAUAUAAGACUACAAUCCAAAAUACAAAUUGAUAGGUACAACUAUUUCACAUUAAUGUUGGUUGAAACUUGAUUUGCAUCACUAGAACACCACCUUCAUCAAAAUGAAUAAGGGGAGACAAUUCUCUCACAACCUAAACUUAGCCUAACCAAAAAAAUUAUUGUACUUUUGCAUUCUUUUACCUCUGAAAAAUCAAGCCUGAAUUUGCCAAUGUGGAAGGCAUGAGAACAAAUAAACACCACGUGGAAAAUUUAAAAGAAUAAAAUAAUACAGGUCAGAAAAAUACACAUUUUGGGUUUGGGAAAAUAAUCCACAAUAUCCAAACAAUUGCAAAAACAAAGAUAGCAAUAGUGAGCCCUAAGGAAAGCAUAAAAGGCAUUGACUCAAUUUUCUACUAGUUCCCAAUUGCAAAUAAGAUUAGGCUCAGUAUGCUUAAAACUUCCUUUUCUUCUUCCAUAUAUAGUUGGGGGCUCCUGGACAUAUAUUGGCCUAGUCCUACCAUAAAACAUAGCAGCCCAGUGAUUUAAGUCCAGGAACUGUGGUCUGAAGUGCAAUACAGUUCUCAUGCCAGAAUUUAUUCACAGCAACUGCAAUGUUUUUGUUGUUACCUCUUCCCUUAGAAUUGACUGCAGUGUUUUACAAGAAAAAGGCAUUCAUUUACAAUAUUUACAUCCAUCACCUGGGUUUUAAUAAUGAUUUCACAAAUCACUAAGCAUUUAUUAAUGAGAAAGACAACGUAAUUCCUUAGCUAAAUAAGAAAGAAGAUAGCUUCUGACAGAAUAUAGAUUUUAUGUUUCCAGAAUUUCUGCAAUUGAAUGAAUAAUCAAGACCAUUGGUAAAUACUGCUAUCACUUUGAAGUAGCUGAUCUAUAUCAGCAAUCCCAACCUAGUGACCUACUAUAUUACAAACUGUACAUCCUUCAAUAUUCCUAUAUAUUAACAGCAAGUGAUAAUGUAACCAUUUUGAACUGUCACUUUGUAGAAACUACUUCACGAAUCACAAAUGACCCAGAAAAAAGAACACCAAUAAAAGUUACUUCCAAAUUAUUUUGGACCAAAAGAUUCCAAAUUGUUAAAUAAUAUGUACCCACAGGAGCCAGUAUCAACAUAACUUUAGAAUGAAUUCCCAAAAAAGUUCAUAAAAUUUAUGUAAAAUAAUUUUCGGUUCAAUUCAAAGUUCAACUAUAAAUUUAUAAUUCAUUUGAAAUGAAUUCUAAUGCUUGGUAUGACAUAACUUAAAAUAAAGAAUUCAAUUGAAUUCCAUAUAA
rnacentral:misc_RNA from 1 species